rnacentral:rRNA from 1 species
UCCGACCUGCACGAAUGGCGUAAUGAUGGCCAGGCUGUCUCCACCCGAGACUCAGUGAAAUUGAACUCGCUGUGAAGAUGCAGUGUACCCGCGGCAAGACGGAAAGACCCCGUGAACCUUUACUGUACUCUGAUAUUGGCUUUUGACUUGUCACGUGUAGGAUAGCCGGGAGACUGUGAAAGAAACUCGUCAGGGUUUCUGGAGUCAUCCUUGAAAUACCGGUCGUGACAUGUUGGAAAUCUAACGAUGCCCCAUGAAUCUGGGGAUCGGACAUUGUCAGACGGGCAGUUUGACUGGGGCGGUAUCCUCCUAAAAUGUAACGGAGGAGUCCAAAGCUUGCCUCAUCGUGGUUGGCAAUCACGAAUAGAGCGUAAAAGUAUAAGGCAAGUUGACUGCGAGACCAACGAGUCGAGCAGGUACGAAAGUAGGGUUUAGUGAUCCGGCGGUGGAAAGUGGAAUCGCCGUCGCUUAACGGAUAAAAGGUACUCCGGGGAUAACAGGCUUAUCGCCACCAAGAGUUCAUAUCGACGUGGCGGUUUGGCACCUCGAUGUCGGCUCGUCACAUCCUGGGGCUGGAGAAGGUCCCAAGGGUUGGGCUGUUCGCCCAUUAAAGUGG